rnacentral:rRNA from 1 species
AUUGAACGCUGGCGGCAGGCCUAACACAUGCAAGUCGAGCGAGCGGCGGACGGGUGAGAAAUGUAUGGGGACUGCCCGAUAGAGGGGGGUAACUACUGGAAACGGUAGCUAAUACCGCAUACUAUCGGAUAACCCAUAUGGGAUUAGCUAGUAGGUGCGGUAAUGGCUCACCUAGGCGACGAUCCCUAGCUGGUCUGAGAGGAUGAGCAGCCAAACUGGAACGGAGACACGGCCCAGACUCCUACGGAGGAAGAAGUGGGGAAUAUCGGACAAUGGGCGCAAGCCUGAUGCAGCCAUGCCGCGUGUAGGAAGAAGGCCCUAGGGUUGUAAAGUACUUUCAGUGGGGAGGCGUUACCGGCAGAAGAAGCACCGGCUAACUCCGUGCCAGCAGCCGCGGUAAUAC